rnacentral:rRNA from 1 species
CCUACGGGAGGCAGCAGUGAGGAAUAUUGGUCAAUGGGCGGAAGCCUGAACCAGCCAAGUAGCGUGCAGGAUGACGGCCCUACGGGUUGUAAACUGCUUUUAUACGGGAAUAACGCGCCUUACGUGUAGGGCUUUGCAUGUACCGUAUGAAUAAGGCACGGCUAAUUCCGUGCCAGCAGCCGCGGUAAUACGGAAGGUCCGGGCGUUAUCCGGAUUUAUUGGGUUUAAAGGGAGCGUAGGCCGCAUGUCAAGCGUGCUGUGAAAUGUCCGGGCUCAACCCGGGCCUUGCAGCGCGAACUGGCGUGCUUGAGUCCGCGGAAAGCAGGCGGAAUUCGGCGUGUAGCGGUGAAAUGCUUAGAUAUCACGCAGAACGCCGAUUGCGAAGGCAGCUUACCGGCGCUCAACUGACGCUGAGGCAUGAAAGUGCGGGUAUCGAACAGGAUUAGAUACCCUUGUAGUC